rnacentral:rRNA from 1 species
UACGAAGGGUGCAAACGUUGCUCGGAAUUAUUGGGCGUAAAGCGCACGUAGGCGGCUUAGCAAGUCGGAAGUGAAAUCCCACGGCUCAACCAUGGAAGUGCUUUCGAAACUGCUGAGCUUGAGUACAAAAAGAGGAUCGCGGAAUUCCCGGUGUAGAGGUGAAAUUCGUAGAUAUCGGGAGGAACACCAGUGGCGAAGGCGGCGAUCUGGGUUGAUACUGACGCUGAGGUGCGAAAAGCGUGGGGAGCAAACAGG